CCAGAUGUUGUUAAACUUCUUUAAGGAGGUCGCAUGCUUCUGCUUCUCCCUUCUCUCCUCCAUACUUUCCGUCUAUUCUUGGUCAAUAUAGCACAAAAAGAUGAGACCUUUGUUGUCGUUAAGCUGCUUCUUCUUCUCAUGCUGUCUCAUUCAACCCCACUGCUUCUGCAACUUCCGUUUUCUCCUCGCUGGUUUUUGGUCUCUUCUUGGUCACGAUGCAAGAAAGCUGGGACCUUCGUCAAUCUUGAGCUGUUUCUUCUUCC
rnacentral:lncRNA from 1 species